GCACGUCUGAAGGGCACUGCAUGGGCCUUCCACGUCGAGCGUCUAUUGCUGCCUACCCUAUGCCCCUUCAGAACGGCAAGCUGUGUGAUCUAUGUGCGCCCACACACGUCUGUCGGCGGCCCCCUUCGGCUUGAUGUGCCCAUUCCUGUGAGAGGACUGCGGGCUCAGCAGAAGGUAGAAUGCCCCCCCCCCCCCCCCCCCCCGGCCGCCACAAACUCACGGCAUUGUCCCACCUGUCGCGGCGCAUGCGGGCAAGCCAUCCAGGCACGCCCCUUGUAAUAUCGGCGGAAACGGAAGAUAAUGACAGCGAGCCCACCAGACAACACGGCUGCCCUGCAACGGAUCCUGAGGUUCACUGGUGUGGACACUGUGCGCACGCGCAUGCCAAGCACCGCUGGCAUGUCGUGUACCGCAUCUAACCGAGGCACGCGGUCGUUAGGAGAGCACGAGUGAUGGAGGGGAAAGGUGCGCAGAGAUGCACGCCGAUCAGCCCCAGGGUGCAUGGGUGCGAGGCAUGAGGCAUCUGCUACAUCCGGCUGGGUUGGCCGAUGAGGCGCAGACCCCAGAAACAUGACGAGAACACCCUGAGCUGCAUCAUCGAGUACUCCAGACUCUCCAGUGUGGCGAGCCGUCGCACCACAUUGCGGAAUGCCGCUGCUCGAGGCGACUGAAGGGGGACAUGUCACACAGGCAGGGGGUGCAAGGUCUCCAGAGGACCCUGGCUUGCAGCUGACCAACUGCCUCCCUAAGCUCAUCCGGCAUGCGCCUAGGCCAGCCCCGCUGCUACCCGCACGCCACACGCCAAGACGUUCCGCCUCUCGAGCAGGACCCCAGAGGCGGUCUGCUUGGAUCAAGGCGUGCAACACAGCCGAGUCUCCACCUGGCCCCUAUCGCGCAGCACGUACCCGAGGAAGGGACAAGGCAAGGACAAGCCGAGCCCGUUAGAGAGGCGUGCCCGCAUUCGACAGAAGGGCGACUCGUCCAUGGCGACCCGGAUUCAGCUGUAUCGCGGCAGAGGUGGAUGCGCUGCCGUUGUAUGCAUCUCUUCGCUGACUUAUGGGAGGAUGGCGUGCUGCACGAACGGAAUUGCCCCUCUCCAACACUGCCACCACACGCACACACUCACACUUGCACCUUAGCCGACGAACCGUGUUUAUGAUGUGGACAGCGGACGCUCGCGGAGGGCAGGGACACGAGGUUCGAGGGCAGGCGACAAUAACAUACCGGCGCACGUUGAACGUUCGCCCACACUUUCGAGCACCUGCACCUGCAGCUUUUAUCGCUUGUGCCUGCGUGCGUGGCCUUGAAACCUGUGGUUGUGCCUCUGUGUACGCGUGUUUGCCGCUGUGGUUCCAUGUGUCCCGCCGUGCGCGCGCACGUGCGCGCGCCUGCUUCCUUCCCUCUGUCUUUACUUUCUCUUCGCAGUCAUCUGUCUGUCGCGUUUUUUUUUGUUUGCUCCCCCCGCCUUUCCCCUUUCUCUCUCGCUUCUGCUCAACAG
rnacentral:misc_RNA from 1 species